AAGGGCAUGCCCACUCGAAAAACUCCGAGGGUAUUAUCUCUAUAAGAAGGAAAAUAAUUAGCCAUUUGCAUCACGUUCUUUGAAGUCUUGUCUCAAGUAGCAGAGUCUCCCACCCCUUUCAAUGGCUUUAAUCAAUAUCGUUCUAGCUUCGAGGCGUCGUCGUCGAAGGGGUAAUGGAUCUUCCUUCUCAGUUGCCAGGCCGAUAAGGUCAUCGCCCAUCACCAUCAUCAUCAUCGUCACAACACUCAAUUUUUUCCGAUGAAUGGCCCGCUGAUUGUCAAAUAAUAAUCAUGGUAGCAGUUGCUGCAUAUUCUUACUUGCUAUACCUUUCAAUCUUUGGGUAAAUCUUGUUCAAGCGAAACUAAGGUAAAAGCUGAAAAUCUCCAAAUUCUGUAAGGAUUUUCCCCUUUCUUUUGGGCUUGAAAUAGGAUCAUUAAUGUUCAUUGGCUACUAUGUAACAAGCAGCUGCCUUUGUAUAGUUUUUAUUUUUUAACUUUGUUUAAUUUUUUUUCUUCCUUUAAAUUAGUUUCCUUUAUAGCUAUAUACCUAAUACUACUAUUCUUUAAUAAAGAAAAUCACGAAACCUAGCCACUAAUAUCAAAAGUUAAAGUCAUUUUGCUUGAAGUUUCAAGGAAACUCAUGCUUACUGGAUUUUGUUUUUUUGAUUUGGGAGAAUAAAAUUCAGAUUCAAUUUUUUUAGUCAGUAAUUAAUAUAUGCGAUACCCUUAACUAAAUCUUGGGAGUGGCUACUGUCUCAUGAUUAUAAGAAGCAUUAAUUACCUCAAUUUUGAACUCCUUGGCUUGCUAAACUGUCACAUAUUU
rnacentral:lncRNA from 1 species